CACAAACUGGAGUCAUGUCACCGCAGGACAGGGGUACGGGGUGAAUCAUUUAUCUGAUCUGUGGCCUUGGUCAGUCAUCUGACACAACAUCAUACCCUCUUGACCAGUCACCUUUCACCAAUAAUCAGAACGAGGGAAUUGAGAAAGACGUGGUAUUAAGCAAGCAGUCAUUCUGUGACCUUCAGUCCCACUGAGGCGGCUGCAGAAAUGCUCGUCACCAGCCUUUUACCAUCUGACACUGACAGCGACUCAGAUGUGAGGGACUGUGUGCUCCAUCCAGCACUCCUGCGGGGAAGACACUGAACAGUGUUCAAGAAGUGUCUGUCUCUACUCUUUGGAACCUCAUUUGAGCUACUUCUCUGUGACAAACAUUUAUUAUUUCUCUCAAAUCUGUGGUUGCCUGAUGGAUUUUCUGCAUCACCUGGCUUUGGCUGGAACGUUCAGGAGCUACAGGUUCAGCCAGCUCUACAGGCCUUCAGCCCUGACCCUGUGCGGGCUUCCUGUCUCCACGAGGCCUUUGGACCUCCUUAAGCUUCUCAGUACUCUUGGCAAAGAUGAGGGAGCUCAAGGCCCCACUGUGACCGACAUGCAGGGAAAAGACAAGAGCGCCCCAAUCGCUGAUUAGCAGGGAGAACUGAUUCUACCCAGAGGAGCUGAACGCCACCUGAAGCAUGUCAAACUGUUAGCCUGAAACCAAACUCUGCCCUGGGUGCAGCCUCUGCUUCCACCUGGGUAGCAAGAAGCUGCUGAUGGAAACAGCCUGCUGGACUCUUUUGGACAACAUAUGUCUCUUCUGCAAGAAAUCUCCUUUAAAAAGAAAAUCUGAAUGAAGAACAGCAUCAAAAGAGCUGUGAUGUUUUCAAAACAUGUCCGUAAAUUCUUUGACACUGCUCCCACCAACAGGGGACGUCUAAUUCCUCUCCCCUUGGACAUGGGCUAUCUGAGUGGCUUGCUUUCAAUGAACAGAAUGAGGUGGGAGUGAUACUGUGGGAAUUCCAAGGCCAGGUCACAAAAAACUAUAGUUUUUGAGAUCCUGCUUCUGGAAGCCAGCCACCAUGCCGUGAGGAAGCACAGGCCUCGCGAAGAAGCAACACGUAGGUGUUUUUGCCCAACAGCCCCAGCUGAGAUCUAACCAAUAGCCAACAUCAACUGCUAGACAUGUGAGAAAGCCUUUGAGAUGCCUCCAGUCCCAGCCACCACCUCAUGGCCAAUGCAUAAGAACCCUGAUUAGCUGAAGAACUGCCUAGCUGAGCCCAGUUAGUCCACAAAACCAUGAGAGAAAACAAUAAUAAAGAACUGUUGUCCUUUUGUACCACUAAGUUUGGGAUGACUUGUUACACAGCAGUAACUGGAACAAGAGCUCCCAAUUAAUUUGUCCUUUACAGUGAUUGUCUAAAGGUCUUCUUAUCUUCCAGAAAAAAAUAGUUCUGCUUAUGCUAGGAUGAGGGAUUGGGAACACAAGGGCUGCCAUUGACCAGACUGCCACAUAGGACCAAAAUGGACACAGGUGUCAUGGACUCUUUAGGCCUCACAGCUGCUGGGCUCACUUCCUGGAUGUGAAAAGGAGAGUAAUAGUCUCAGUAAGAAAUCUCCACGGCAGCUGAUGCUCAGUGGCCACGAGCAUCCUGUGCUGGGCACUGAAAGAACACGAGCAGCAGACGCUCUCAGCACAGUCCCUACCCUGCUGCUCUAGAAGUCCUCCGACUAAAAAAGGUCCCUCUGCUGCCACACCAGCUGAAGAUGUUGACUUCUAACUCUUUACCUGCAUCUACCUGUAAUUAUAAUUUGCAGGGCUUUGAAAUCCUGUCCUAUUUAAUCUCCCCAAAUUACUUUAAGUCCCUAAUUAGGCAAGCCUAAAAUUCAGUUAGGUGAGGCUAAUACGCUCCAAAACAGUGCAGAAGAAGCUCUCAAGAUCCAAAAAGCAACGGUGAAAGUGAAGCAAGCAAACCCAAAGGGACCUGUAACGAGGGAGGCAGGAGUGGGUGGGAAGUGGCUGUGCAAGCAGCGGCGGGGCCUCCCGACUUGUUUCUGAAGCUAUGAACUGGCCCUGCUGCUCAGGAGGCCGACUCCAGCAUCCCAGAGAGGCACCUCCCGCCAAAUGUUCUCACCACACUCAGAAAGGAACUCGCCACUGAGCUGGCAAGUUACUGCCAUGCUCUCCCUUCACUCCUCUCCGGGGCACCAUCUCAGAACAGCUGAGACCCAAUCCAGGCUACACCACCAAGAAACACCAGCAAAUUAAAUCAGAUAAGUCAACAAUGGGCAAAUCCACAUGGGAGGGGCGAAGGGACUCUGUCUACGUGCUCCAUGCCCCAUCCUGCUUUUGGGAGAAGCUCUCAUACUCUGGUCACAUUGCAACAGGAGGAACACGUUCUCUCAGUUUGCCCAGGGCAGGGCCCCUUUUACCUUCAGAAGUGUUCUGAUUUGGAUGAUAUAUUAUAGGAUCACUUUACCUAAGGGCAAAUUUAAACCAAAGAGGUAAAUUACACUUUUCUCUAUUGACCCUCAGGCCCCUUAUCCAAGGGGCUUCUUUUUAUCUUUCCACUUGUGCUCGUGACUCCUUCUCCCUGAACUACCUACGUGAUUCUACCCUUUUUACACCGGUACAAAGCCCCUUUCUCCUUUAAGCCUCAGCUCAAGCACCACCUCCUUCAGGAAGCCCUCUCAGUAUCCCCUAACCUCCACAGAUCUCUCCGUCCUUUGAAGUUCUAUGGCACCCUCUAUGGCCUUAACACUAUUUUCAAGCUGUUUUUGUAUGCGUAACUACAAAAGUUGUAAACUAUUCAAGGGCAAAAUCUGCCUGAUUACCUCUUUUAUCCCCCUUAGAUAAUCCAGCUCUGUGACAAAGUCCUAAUAGCUAUUCAAUAAAUAUUUUCUGAUUUCCAAACCUGCCUAACCAGCCACUUCAGGACGUGAAUGAAGCCUCCAGGGACGUCCCGCUGCUGACUCCUUCUCUCACAGCUCCCAUACUUUUCUCUUAAAGUACUUAACACAGGUUGUGAUCACAUAUUGGUUGUAUGGUUGUUUGUGUAACGCCAACCUCCUCAGUGUACUGUAGGGGCCAAGAGGACAGGGAGUUUGUGUGUCCUGCUCACAGCUAUGUACUUAAGAUCCAUCCCAGUUCCUGGCAGUGUUCAACGUCUGCUGAUUGGACAGAUGUCAGAUGGAUAGACAGACAGAAGGAUAAAGGAAGAAAGAAAAAAUGAUCUCAAAGUGAAGUCUAAAGAAAGCAGAGAUUGAAGGGCAUGACCAAACACAAACGCUAACGUGUGAGUAGCUCUGUCUCUGCUGCUGACCGAGAGCCAGGGAGGUUACCCCGCAUCUCACAAGUGGUACAGAAACAUCAUGCAUACCGUCUCCUUCAAGAAUUCAACAGAACUGACAGAGACCCAGGGACUGCCCUUGCAGCAAAAGAUCAGUCAAAUUCACAGCACUGUGAAUCAACUAUACUUUGAUUUUUUAAAAAAUCAAUAAAAUUGAGAUAUAAAAAGUG